rnacentral:tRNA from 1 species
GCCCGCCUAGCUCAAUCGGAUAGAGCGUCAGACUCUUAAUCUGAAGGCUGCGAGUUCGACCCUCGUGGUGGGCU